rnacentral:lncRNA from 1 species
GUUUAAUCCUUAUUUGAGUAAUCUGACCUGAGGAGAUAGCCAAACUGUGUGAUUACCAUUCCCAACUAGACUUUUGAGAUGGGCAGAUCACCUGAGGUCAAGAGUUCGAGGCCAGCCUGCCUAACAUGGUGAAACCCUGUCUCUACUAAAGGUGGCACGCACCUGUAGUCCCAGGUACUGGGGAGGCUGUAGUGGGAGGAUCACCUGAGCCCCUGGGAAAUCGAGGCUGCGGUGCUUGUGUUGGUUUGCUAAUGUUUCUGUAACAAAGUACCACAAACUAGGUGGCUUCAACAACAGAAAUUUAUUGUCUCACAGUUCUGGAGGCCAGCAGUCCAAGAUCAGGGUGUUGGCAGGGUUGUUUUUUUCUUAAGACGUGAGGAAGAAUCUGUUCCAUGACUCUCCCCUAACUUCUGGUGGUUUGCUGGUAAUCUUUGCUGUUUCUUGGCUUGUAGACAUAUCACCUUGAUCUCUGCGUUGAUGUUCACUUGCUGUUUUUUCUGUGUGUAUGUCUGCCUCUGGAUUUCCCCUUUUAUCAGGACACCAGUCAUGUCAGAUUAAGGCAAACUCUA